rnacentral:rRNA from 1 species
CAGUCGCCGCGAUAAGACAGAGGAUGCAAGCGUUAUCCGGAAUGAUUGGGCGUAAAGCGUCUGUAGGUGGCUUUUCAAGUCCACAGUCAAAUCCCAGGGCUCAACCCUGGACAGGCGGUGGAAACUACCAAGCUGGAGUACGGUAGGGGCAGAGGGAAUUUCCGGUGGAGCAGUGAAAUGCAUUGAGAUCAGAAAGAACACCAACGGCGAAAGCACUCUGCUGGGCCGACACUAACACUGAGAGACGAAAGCUAGGGGAGCAAAUGGGAUUAGAUACCCCUGUAGUCCCUGUCUCUUAUAC